GGAGGAGUGCCGGAGCGGUUGAACGGGACGGUCUCGAAAACCGUUGUAGGCUUGCGCCUACCCAGGGUUCGAAUCCCUGCUCCUCCGCCA
rnacentral:tRNA from 1 species